rnacentral:rRNA from 1 species
AUUGAACGCUGGCGGCAGGCCUAACACAUGCAAGUCGAGCGGAUGAAGGGAGCUUGCUCCUGGAUUCAGCGGCGGACGGGUGAGUAAUGCCUAGGAAUCUGCCUGGUAGUGGGGGAUAACGUCCGGAAACGGGCGCUAAUACCGCAUACGUCCUGAGGGAGAAAGUGGGGGAUCUUCGGACCUCACGCUAUCAGAUGAGCCUAGGUCGGAUUAGCUAGUUGGUGGGGUAAAGGCCUACCAAGGCGACGAUCCGUAACUGGUCUGAGAGGAUGAUCAGUCACACUGGAACUGAGACACGGUCCAGACUCCUACGGGAGGGAGCAGUGGGGAAUAUUGGACAAUGGGCGAAAGCCUGAUCCAGCCAUGCCGCGUGUGUGAAGAAGGUCUUCGGAUUGUAAAGCACUUUAAGUUGGGAGGAAGGGCAGUAAGUUAAUACCUUGCUGUUUUGACGUUACCAACAGAAUAAGCACCGGCUAACUUCGUG